UGCCUGUGUUGCCUAUGCCUAAGGACGGCCCUGCUGCUGAAUGCGUGUUUGAAAGCGUUGGGCCAACGGAGGCUGCUGUGGAAAUGCUCAGUGUCCUUGGCACCAUUGAAAAAUCCACGUCAGCUGGUGCUGCGGGAUGUAAGGGAAAUGGAACUGACAGCUGGCGAGAAGGGGGUGCUCCCCAGACAGCUACAGCAAGAAUCUCCAUGGCUCCAGUUGUCUGAGUUUCCAAGGCAGGUCCGAAACAUGUUUGAGGACCUCCCCUUCGAUGGUCCCCAACUGUUUGCUGCAUCCAUGGUUGAAUCUUUGCGAACCUUAAAGAAUUCCAAACAAGCAAAAGUUUAGCAGAUCUCAGACAGCGAAGAGGUCUCCGCGCCUCUGGUUUCAGGUUUCCAGCGACCCUCUGAAGUACCAGAAAGAAAUCAAGGCUCAGAGGAAGAGAGCAUCCACUUCUGCUACUCAGCUUUGGAAGUCUUCUAUAUGACAGUUUUUUGACAGGCUUGACAACUCAUAACUACCCCACAUCGUAACAAAGCUGCAUCUACAUCAUCCUACUCUCUUCCAUCCCUGCAGAGACUUCCACUCCCAUUUUCAAUACCCAUGGAGCAGAUUACAUCAGAUAAAUGGGUGUUGGAAGUUAUAAGAUGAGGGUACUCCACCCAUUUUACAUCCCUCCACCCCCCACCUCCUUUCCUGUCAAUCUUCAGGGACCACAAACAUCUGCUGAAACAAGAGAUCAACUUCCUUGUGUGUACAGGGUCAUAGGAUCAGUUCCAGACCAACUCAGAGGGAAUGGAUUUUACUCCAACGUUUUCCUGCCCUAAAAAAGAAUUGUGUGUGUGUGUGUGAACCAAUUUCAGAUAUAAGACUUGUAGGCUACUUUGUGAAAUCACGAAAAAGAAAAAUCAGGAUGGUGACUCUCACAGCCACAAUUCUAAUAUUGGAACCAGGGGAUUGGUUUUCAGCCACCACCCUUCAGGACACCUAUUUUUAUGACACAAUUCACUCAUCCUACAAGAGCUUUCUUUGAUUUUCAUUAUGCCUGGAUCACUUUCAGUACUGGUAUAUCCUUUCUUCCUUUCCUCUGUCCAGAUGGUAUUCUCAAAAGUACCAGCAGUGGUGGCAGCAUAUCUUCCUCAUGGAGUAAUAACUGUAUUUCGAAAUCUCAGGUGGCUUCUGAAGGGUUGAUCUUUACAUGAAGUUCUCUAUGCAACAAAGACACUAAUGUCCCUCUUCCUCAGUUUGGAUCUACAACUCAACUUCAGAAAAUCCACUCUGAGCCCUGUGCAAAGGAUAAAGGUCACAGGAACUUCUAAAGAAACAGUAUCAGCCCAGAGCUUACCUUCCUAUAGACAGAUUCACAACAUUAACAAACCACACCUCAGUGAUGAAGAUCAGCCUACAGAUAUCAACAACAAAUUGCUUUUUACUACUCAGACACCUCCUGGUGCGGGGCACGAGGAGAUGUAGGGUGCCUGAGCAGGUUGAAUGGGCACUACCGCUGAAAAUCUCCUAUCAAAGGCGUGUGAAGUGUAAGCGGAUGAGAAGUGGCGCGCCCGUCGGGACACACAUCUCAAAGAACCCGAAUAACAGCAUGGGGAUUUCCAUGCUACCAGCACAACAAGGAGAGUGAUGGAAAUUCUCCGAAGGCAGGCCAAGAAACUGGAGUCUGUGAGGCAGCUGACAGCAGGUUAGAGUGGGUGACGGGGCCUGUACCCCGUAACAACAGAACCAAAUUCACAUGAAAACUGGGGCAGAGUGUGUCCAAUACGGCAAGAAGGAGGGAGCCAGACACACUAAGAUGGAAUUCCAAG